AGGUAUCCGGUUCUGUUUAACCCGAACCGGUUUGAGCUCAGACAAACUAGGUUAGGCCCGGUCCAUUACGGAUAGGUAAAGAGCUAGGUUAGGGGGUUGACAAGACAAAUCAGAAUAGGGGCAGGCUAAACUAGGGGUAAAAUAAGAGUUUACCCUCUUAUUUUCUGCCUAUAAAAGAAAGGAUUCAGAAGGGUAAAAAUGGGAGGAAAAAAAGAAGAAAUUUAGUCACUGGAUUAGUAAAAAAAAUAAAAUUUCCAAACAAGCACAAAUCAAGAGAAAAAACAAACAACAUAUCACACUCUCCACUACUCACCAUCACUCUUGAUCCUUACC
rnacentral:lncRNA from 1 species